rnacentral:rRNA from 1 species
UACGUAGGGUGCGAGCGUUAAUCGGAAUUACUGGGCGUAAAGCGUGCGCAGGCGGCAGAGCAAGUCGAGUGUGAAAGCCCCGGGCUCAACUUGGGAAUUGCGCUCGAAACUACUUUGCUGGAGUGUGGCAGAGGAAGGUGGAAUUCCACGUGUAGCGGUGAAAUGCGUAGAGAUGUGGAGGAACACCAAUGGCGAAGGCAGCCUUCUGGGCCAACACUGACGCUCAUGCACGAAAGCGUGGGGAGCGAACAGG